UACGGAAGGCAGCGAGUGGGGAAUAUUGCACAAUGGGCGAAAGCCUGAUGCAGCUAUGCCGCGUGUAUGAAGAAGGCCUUAGGGUUGUAAAGUACUUUCAUCGGGGAGGAAAAACAAAACUAAUAAUUUUAUUUCUUGACGUUACCCGAAAAAGAAGCACCGGCUAACUCCGUGCCAGCAGCCGCGGUAAUACGGAGGGUGCUAGCGUUAAUCAGAAUUACUGGGCGUAAAGAGCACGUAGGUGGUUUUUUAAGUCAGAUGUGAAAUCCCUGGGCUUAACCUAGGAACUGCAUUUUGAAACUGAAAUACUAGAGUAUCGUAGAGGGAGGUAGAAUUCUAGGUGUAGCGGUGAAAUGCGUAGAUAUCUGGAGGAAUACCUGUGGCGAAAGCGGCCUCCUAAACGAAUACUGACACUGAGGGUGCGAAAGCGUGGGGAGCAAACAGGGAUUAGAUACC
rnacentral:rRNA from 1 species